AGUAAUGUAUGGGGAUCUGCCUGAUGGCGGGGGAUAACUACUGGAAACGGUAGCUAAUACCGCAUAAUGUCUGCGGACCAAAGCGGGGGACCUCCGGGCCUCGCGUCAUCAGAUGAACCCAUAUGGGAUUAGCUAGUAGGUAAGGUAACGGCUUACCUAGGCGACGAUCCCUAGCUGGUCUGAGAGGAUGAUCAGCCACACUGGGACUGAGACACGGCCCAG
rnacentral:rRNA from 1 species